GACGAACGCUGGCGGCGUGCUUAACACAUGCAAGUCAAGGGGACCCGGUGGCAACAUCGGGUAACCGGCGAACGGGUGCGUAACACGUGAGCAAGCUUCCGAUUUGUGGGGGAUAGCCGGCCCAACGGCCGGGUAAUACCGCAUACGAUCACCGGGCGGCAUCGUCUGGUGAGGAAACCUCCGGGGCAAAUCGAGGCGCUCGCGGCCUAUCAGCUAGUUGGCGGGGUAACGGCCCACCAAGGCUAUGACGGGUAGCUGGUCUGAGAGGAUGGCCAGCCACAUUGGGGACUGCGACACGGCCCAGACUCCUACGGGAGGCAGCAGUGGGGAAUAUUGCGCAAUGGACGAAAGUCUGACGCAGCGACGCCGCGUGUGGGAUGAAGCC
rnacentral:rRNA from 1 species